rnacentral:lncRNA from 1 species
AUGAGCUGUGUAAAGAUAAUUGUAUUGUUGCAGAUUUGGACUGCUUGUAACGCAAUACAGCACUUUAACAAUCCAAGAGAAAAUAUUUGGGUCACUAUAGCCAAUAUGACCCAGCAAUCAUCGCUUUGCUUGAGCCUAGGGGGAGUGCGGAACCCAUUUAGAACAUGUUUAGUAGGCCUUCCGGUGUGGUCAAUAGAAGAAUUUAGAGGCUUAGUAGAGAAUGAGACAUUAAUCAAUGCCACAUUGUUAAACACAAAUUGUUCUAAUAUGCCUGCAAUAAAUACCCCAGCUAAACAAGAUGGGUGUUGGCAAUGUAAAAUAAUAUUAUCCCUCAAUGAAAUAUUAAACUCACCACCCGAGGAAUUAGAUUUGUUUGGCAGCAGUAAUGCCUCAUUAAAGAACAGCACAGGAGGAUGGGUCAGUUUUACACCCAUCAACAGCCAAAAUUGGAACAAAGAUAGACGUCUUUGGGCCACGGUGGACUCUGACUUAAAGUCUGAGACCGUAUCUAGCCAAUUAUAUUCUGAGUGUAAUGGAACCAAUAUCACUGAACCCCGGGCAUUGCCCAAAGGAAUAUUUCUUAUUUGUGGAGAUAGGGCAUGGAAUGGCAUUCCAGUGAAACCCCAAGGAGGCCCAUGUUAUUUAGGGAAGUUAUCAAUGUUUCACCCAAAUGUGUCUAUGUUAAUGCAGUGGUCAAAAAACCGCACAAGAUCUAGAAGAAGUAUUCAUGAGUUAAAGUGUGAAAAUAUUGGUACACCAACCUUUUGGUCAGAAUUCAAACAGGUAAAAAUAGCUACCCUCUUGCCAGGUGCAGCCGCGAGCAAGGCACUGGCCCUAGCUGAACAACUAGGAUGUUGGGCAAAAGAGGAGCUUAAUCAAACUUCACAGGUAUUAGACAUGAUGGCACAAGAUGUAGAAAGUGUAAAUCAUGCCGUGUUGCAGAACCGUGCUGCAAUUGACUUUUUAUUAUUAGCACAAGGUCAUGGAUGUGAAGAAUUUGACGGGAUGUGUUGUAUGAACUUAUCUGACCACUCCACAUCAAUUCAUCGGAAGAUCCAAGAAAUCCAAAAUGGCUUGCAUGCCCUUAAGGAAGAAAACGGGUUUAGGACUUGA